rnacentral:tRNA from 1 species
GACUGCGUAGCUCAGUUGGCAGAGCAUUGGGCUAGUAUUCCAAAGGUCGCAGGUUCGAUUCCCACCGUAGCCA